UUCUUGAUGGAGAGUUUGAUCCUGGCUCAGGACGAACGCUGGCGGCGUGCUUAACACAUGCAAGUCGAACGAGGUCCA
rnacentral:rRNA from 1 species